AGGGGUAUAGCUCAGUGGUGGAGUAUAUGUUAGCAUGCAUGAGGUUCUGGGUUCAACCCCCAGCACCUCAA
rnacentral:tRNA from 1 species